GUAACGGCGAGUGAAGCGGUAACAGCUCAAAUUUGAAAUCUGGCUCUUUCAGGGUCCGAGUUGUAAUUUGUAGAAGAUGCUUCGGGUGUGGCUCCGGUCUAAGUUCCUUGGAACAGGACGUCAUAGAGGGUGAGAAUCCCGUAUGUGACUGGUUGCCUUCGCUCAUGUGAAGCUCUUUCGACGAGUCGAGUUGUUUGGGAAUGCAGCUCUAAAUGGGUGGUAAAUUUCAUCUAAAGCUAAAUAUUGGCCAGAGACCGAUAGCGCACAAGUAGAGUGAUCGAAAGAUGAAAAGCACUUUGGAAAGAGAGUUAAACAGUACGUGAAAUUGUUGAAAGGGAAGCGCUUGCAACCAGACUUGCAUUCCGUCGAUCAUCCCCCGUUCUCGGAGGUGCACUCGGCGGAGUUCAGGCCAGCAUCGGUUUCGGUGGUGGGAUAAAGGCCUUGGGAACGUAGCUCCUCUCGGGGAGUGUUAUAGCCCUCGGUGCAAUGCCGCCUACCGGGACCGAGGACCGCGCUUCGGCUAGGAUGCUGGCGUAAUGGUUG
rnacentral:rRNA from 2 species